rnacentral:lncRNA from 1 species
ACCAAACUAGACCGAAACCUGAACCAAGCUCGACAAAAGACUUCAUUUUUAUGCCUUUUUGUCAUCUUAUGGCUUUUCUUUUGUUUGAAAAUAAAACCAAAGCUAAACAAUUAAGAUAAAAACUAUGUUGAGAAGUGAUUCCUUGAGUAAAACCUGCAUAUGAAAGGAGUGAAGGCAGUGAGAAGAAGAAUCAAGAAACGUGAGGGAAAGAAGAAGAAGAAAAAUCAAGGUCAAAGUUAACAAGGAAGUUAGUUAUGUAACUAGUAGUUAAGGAGUGAGUAGUCAAGUCAAGAGUCAGUUGGUUAGUAAGCUAAUUAAGUUCAGAGUU